CACAAAGGCACAUGGCGAACACAUGAUCACAUCAUGUACAUUUCAGAACGUGCGUGUACACAUUGUAAACAACAGGGGAUUCAGAUUCACAAGUAAAUGAACAUUGACUCAGGAUCGACAGCAUAUACGUACUGAUUGUUUCACAUCAUACACUAUCCACUACGCGGAUUAAACAAUGGACUCCUCAGUAGACAGACGACUUGAAAGAAUUGAGCCCAAGAUGGGGUUCGAACUCAAGACCAUUUUUCUGACGUCAGCGUGUUUCGUUUACGCCAUCGUCAUUUUUCUGACAGCGGCGUUUGUCAGCAAGGCAACAGCCUCGGCAAUGUCAUCAGUGUCCUCGACAUUGAAGAGUUACCAAUUCUGGAGCAUCGAGCACCAGUCCAACAUAGGUACGAAACCACCCAGAGCUCGCACGACGAAACACAUCUAUCAGGGCUGAACAUCGCUGAUACAACAACUCGAGAAUCUCAAAAACCCACACUGAUUUCAUCACACAGAUGACUAACUGUUCGCUGAUUUCUACGACGAUACGUACUCUGCAAAGGUGUGCAUAAGUGACCGUGUUUAACCAAUGGACAGCUGAUUCACAGUGAUCCAUCGGUCAGAUGUAGAACUGGACAGUGACAAUUAAAACGGUGAACGUUGCGCCAAUGUAUUCGAUAUGAUUAUCGCAGAAUUUGGAUACCGCGUCCAACCAUGGACUUCGAACUUUUUAAAAGUAUUUGUUGACAUUUUUAAUGUGAGUUCUGCCUGAAUUGAACUGCCAAAUAAAGAGUGAUUGGAUCCUGAAUAUGGAAUGUGUCAUUUGGUACCAUGAAUUACAUUUUGAACGAGUGACAGCGAGUGUAAAACCUUGACAUCUUGAGAGACUGUAUAUGUUUUGAUCUCUCCUGAUUUUAAAAUUUAAUUCAUAAGGCUCAUUAUUCGAUACUCUGGAAUUUUAAUUUUGGUUGUGAAUGUGAGAGUGUAAGAUAAUGCAAAAUCAAUAAUGAUUCACCAGCCAUUUAAAAUUGUGAAUUAUAUUGUUUACAUAGAACGUGCUUUCAUUAAUUAAACCAAGAUAUAUGGAGACGGAUAUAGAUUUAAACAUACAUUAUCGUUUGUUAUGUAACCCCACACCCUUAUCAUUUGUGUCAAAUGAAGAACAAACUAUCUGGUGAUUCAGGUUUACAUGUAUAUUGUGUAUGGAUGUGAAGAACUGUGUAUGAUUUGAAGAGUUGUGUAAGGUUGUGACGAGUUGUGUAAGGUUGUGACGAGUUGUGUAAGGUUGUGACGAGUUGUGUAGGGUUGUGACGAGUUGUGUAAGGUUGUGACGAGUUGUGUAAGGUUGUGACGAGUUGUGUAUGGAUGUGAAGAGUUAAGGUUGUGUAUUGAUGGGAAGAGUCAAAAGCUGUACGGAAGUGAGAAGUCAGAAGACGGAAGUUUAAUUUUGUACAUUGUUGAAUUCUGUUGUUUUUCACAGAGAACUGUUGUUAAUAAAUUACAUAAAACUAA